AUGGCUGGAGUGAGCAGGGAGCACGGCUCUGCUGUCAUACAACCCCUCUCAAUCCCCUUAAUUUUGGCUGAGGAAGGACCCAAGCCUUCGCUUCAAAGUCCCAAAUUUACCUUAAAUUCAGCUCGGAGAAUGCCUGCGGGAUGCAGCCGGAGCCUCCUGAGCCGUGUUACGCAGGGAAAUGGUGGAGAAGCAACCCACAGGCAGGUUUUUUUGCUCA
rnacentral:lncRNA from 1 species